UGGGGAAUUUUCCGCAAUGGGCGAAAGCCUGACGGAGCAAUACCGCGUGAGGGAUGAAGGCUUACUGAGUUGUAAACCUCUUUUUUCAAGGAAGAAGUUCUGACGUUACUUGAAGAAUAAGCAUCGGCUAACUCCGUGCCAGCAGCCGCGGUAAGACGGAGGAUGCAAGUGUUAUCCGGAAUCACUGGGCGUAAAGCGUCUGCAGGUGGUUUUUUAAGUCUGAUGUUAAAACUUGAGGCUCAACCUCAAUCCAGCAUUGGAAACUGAAAGACUAGAGUAUAGUAGGGAUAGAGGGAAUUUCCAGUGGAGCGGUGAAAUGCGUAGAUAUUGGAAAGAACACCGAUGGCGAAAGCACUCUAUUGGGCUAUUACUGACACUCAGAGACGAAAGCUAGGGGAGCAAAUGGG
rnacentral:rRNA from 1 species